rnacentral:rRNA from 1 species
UACGUAGGGGGCAAGCGUUGUCCGGAAUCAUUGGGCGUAAAGCGCGUGUAGGCGGCCAGAAAAGUCCGCUGUGAAAACUCGAGGCUCAACUUCGAGCUGUCGGUGGAAACUUUCUGGCUAGAGUCCGGAAGAGGAGAAUGGAAUUCCUGGUGUAGCGGUGAAAUGCGCAGACAUCAGGAAGAACACCCGUGGCGAAGGCGGUUCUCUGGGACGGUACUGACGCUGAGACGCGAAAGCGUGGGGAGCGAACAGG